rnacentral:rRNA from 1 species
UACGUAGGGUGCGAGCGUUAAUCGGAAUUACUGGGCGUAAAGCGUGCGCAGGCGGCUUUAUAAGACAGAUGUGAAAUCCCUGGGCUCAACCUAGGAACUGCGUUUGUGACUGUAAAGCUGGAGUGCGGCAGAGGGGGGUGGAAUUCCACGUGUAGCAGUGAAAUGCGUAGAGAUGUGGAGGAACACCGAUGGCGAAGGCAGCCCCCUGGGUUGACACUGACGCUCAUGCACGAAAGCGUGGGGAGCAAACAGG